UACGUAGGGUGCGAGCGUUGUCCGGAAUUAUUGGGCGUAAAGAGCUUGUAGGCGGUCUGUCGCGUCUGCUGUGAAAAUCCGGGGCUCAACCCCGGACUUGCAGUGGGUACGGGCAGACUAGAGUGUGGUAGGGGAGACUGGAAUUCUCGGUGUAGCGGUGAAAUGCGUAGAUAUCGAGAGGAACACCUGCGGCGAAGGCGGGUUGCUGGGCCGACACUGACGCUGAUGCGCGAAAGCCAGGGGAGCGAACGGG
rnacentral:rRNA from 1 species